rnacentral:lncRNA from 1 species
GACGAGGAGGGCCUCCUGGUCACCCUUCUGGGGGCCCGUACUGUCAUGCCUCAGAGCUGGCAAGUCGUCCCAGGGAAGACAACGGCCUUCCUGGAGGGAGGGAACCUUGUGGUUAGGCGCAUGGGGUGCGAAGCAGGGCCUCUACUUGGCCGACGCAGCUAGAAGACUAAGGUCAGGGGCAUUCUGGAUGCAGCCCACAAAGCUAGCUCUCUGUGGCACUGAGCAAGGUAGGGAAGGAUGGAGAGUAUUUUUGCAGAGCAGCUGCAGAAUGUCCAGCUAGAUCAUCUCAGCCUCUCCUGAACUGUGACCAACUGGCUUACUCAAGGGACUGGAUCUGCUGUCCCGACAUGAUGGCAAGCUGCAGCACAUCAUGCAGAUUAAAGUUCAGCCUGCCUCAGACUCAGGAUAAAAACACAUUUGGGACAGUCUCGCUCAGCCUCAUUGCAGAGACAAGAAAUGUAUGAAAAGAAAGUACAGAGAAAAAAAAAGAAUGGAAUACACAUGAAUGCCGAACCACAUUGGAUAUGUAGCUGUUCAUGAAGAUAUUCCAGGGAAGGCCUAUCUAGUAGAGCCUCAAAUCUAUUUGAAUACAAAUGGCACUCAUUAAGGACAUCUGUCUUCUGUAAUGUCUACACAAAGUCUUACCGGGGUCUUCUUGGCUCUUAUUGACGGCUGAUGAAGGAGGGGUUUAUAAAGAAAACAAGCCAAAACCUGAAUAACUUGCUACUGAGAGCAGCACACAUAUUUUCCCAAAGUGCAAAGUUGAGAAGAAGUACAAAGCUUUGUUAAUAUUCUGAACAGUACUGCUUAGUAUGAUCUAAUUGAUGGAUUUUCCAUGGACUCCCUAGAGACUGAAAAAGAAGUUCCACAAUGGAUGUUCCUGAUGAGUGUGCAUUCGUAUAAUUAUUCAGAGACUCAAACUCCUACCAUUUAAUGUCUCCUCCAUUUCUGGAGUCCCAGGAGUCCUCUUCAAGAGAGCCUCUGUCUUUGGCUGACCUUCAUGAGAAAGUAUAUGGAGGUCACAUGGGUGAUAUUUCAUGCUGAGCCUGUAAGUUACACAGAUCCCUCUGCUCACAUUUCACGGGCCAGACAACGCAUGGCCACUCCACAGUAUGGGAAGCUGGGACCUGCACUCCAGUUCUGUGCUUAGACAAUAGAAAAGGAAGAUUUUGAACAUUUAAUAGUCUUUCUUCAACUUAUAAUUGGAAAUACAUUUUAAAAUAGUCAUAUAUUCAUAUAGUAGAAUAAAAAACUUGAUAGUAGUUAUCAAACUUUUUUACCAUUCAAUACAAUGAAAAGAUGUUCUUGAUGUAUCGAGUGGAAAGUGUUUGUUACAAACAAUGUUUUUGUCACAAGUUUUAUGGUUAUUCACACAGCCAUGCUAUCAUCUCAGCAAUGUCAUACUUCCUGCUUUCCCAAGUUUUCCUUUUUUUUCUUUUUCUUCUAUGUGCUUAGUAAAGAAAGCAUGAUGGCUGGGCACGGUGGCUGAUGCCUGUAAUCCCAGUACGUUGGCAGACCAAGAGGGGAGGAUCACGAGGUCAGGAGAUUGAGACCAUCUUGGCUGCAGUGCAACUCUGUCUCUACUAAAAAUACAAAAAUUUAGCCAGGCAUGGUGGCCAGGCGCCUGUAGUCCCAGCUACUCGGGA